UCUACCUUUUUCCUGCAUGUGUCCUUUUUUGUGAUUUUGUUUUAUUUAUCUUAUUUACAACACAGAUGUAAUGUGCCUUUUUGGAGCUUACGUGGGCUGUUGGGGAGAGAUAAGUAUCAGAGACUUUGGCCAGUAGUCCAAUCAACCUCCUAUGCCAGAGCUGGAGAAUCAGUAAUAAAGGGUGUACAACUCAGUGCUGUCCCAGCUCCUCCAGUGUCUGUGUGUGAGACUGAAGAGGAAGUGAUCACUUCCUAUCUGCCCACUAACAGCCUCUCACAUAGACAUAGAAU